GUGGUAGGCUUAACACAUGCAAGUCGAACGAGAUUUAUUUGUGUUUACACAAGUAAUGAUAGUGGCGCACGCGUGAGUAACACGUGGGAACAUACCUUGAAGUGGGGGAUAACUUUUGGAAACGGAAGCUAAUACCGCAUACUCCCUGAGGGGGAAAGAUUUAUCGCUUUAAGAUUGGCCCGCGGAAGAUUAGGCAUUUGGUGAGGUAAACACUCACCAAACCUACGAUCUAUAGCUGGUGUGAGAGAACGAUCAGCCACACUGGAACUGAGACACGGUCCAGACUCCUACGGGAGGCAGCAGGGAGGAAUAUGGGGCAAUGGGGGCAACCCUGAACCAGCUAUACCACGUGAGUGAAGAAGGUCUUCGGAUUGUAAAGCUCUUUCGGAUGUGAAGAUGAUGAAAGUAGCAUCUAAAGAAGCACCGGCAAACUUCGUGCCAGCAGCCGCCGUAAUAC
rnacentral:rRNA from 1 species